rnacentral:piRNA from 1 species
UUUGCUAGACUUAGAUAAAGC